GGGCCCGCACAAGCGGAGGAGCAUGUGGCUUAAUUCGAUGCAACGCGAAGAACCUUACCAGGGCUUGACAUGUAACUGCACGUCCGGUGAAAGUCGGAUUUCUUCGAGAGUGUUACACAGGUGCUGCAUGGCUGUCGUCAGUUCGUGCCGUGAGGUGUUGGGUUAAGUCCCGCAACGAACGCAACCCUUGUGUUUAGUUGCCACCGUGGGUGAUGAGCCCACGAGCACUCUAGACAGACUGCCCGUACAAGCGGGAGGAAGGUGGGGACGACGUCAAGUCAGUAUGGCCCUUACGCCCUGGGCUGCACACGUGCUACAAUGGCAGGUACAGAGGGAUGCAAGACCGCGAGGUGGAGCAAAUCCUCAAAGCUUGCCCCAGUUCGGAUUGGAGUCUGCAACUCGACUCCAUGAAGUUGGAUUCGCUAGUAA
rnacentral:rRNA from 1 species